GACAGAGGAUGCAAGCGUUAUCCGGAAUGAUUGGGCGUAAAGCGUCUGUAGGUGGCUUUUUAAGUCCGCCGUCAAAUCCCAGGGCUCAACCCUGGACAGGCGGUGGAAACUACCAAGCUGGAGUACGGUAGGGGCAGAGGGAAUUUCCGGUGGAGCGGUGAAAUGCGUAGAGAUUGGAAAAGAACACCGAUGGCGAAGGCACUUUACUGGGCUAUUACUAACACUCAGAGACGAAAG
rnacentral:rRNA from 1 species